CGCAAGGCGUGGCAUACGGCUCAGUAACACGUAGUCAACAUGCCCAAAGGACGUGGAUAACCUCGGGAAACUGAGGAUAAACCGCGAUAGGCCAAGGUUUCUGGAAUGAGCCAUGGCCGAAAUCUAUAUGGCCUUUGGAUUGGACUGCGGCCGAUCAGGCUGUUGGUGAGGUAAUGGCCCACCAAACCUGUUACCGGUACGGGCUUUGGGAGAAGGAGCCCGGAGAUGGGCACUGAGACAAGGGCCCAGGCCCUAUGGGGCGCAGCAGGCGCGAAACCUCUGCAAUAGGCGAGAGCCUGACAGGGUUACUCUGAGUGAUGCCCGCUAAGGGUAUCUUUUGGCACCUCUAAAAAUGGUGCAGAAUAAGGGGUGGGCAAGUCUGGUGUCAGCCGCCGCGGUAAUACCAGCACCCCGAGUUGUCGGGACGAUUAUUGGGCCUAAAGCAUCCGUAGCCUGUUCUGCAAGUCCUCCGUUAAAUCCACCUGCUCAACGGAUGGGCUGCGGAGGAUACCGCAGAGCUAGGAGGCGGGAGAGGCAAACGGUACUCAGUGGGUAGGGGUAAAAUCCAUUGAUCUACUGAAGACCACCAGUGGCGAAGGCGGUUUGCCAGAACGCGCUCGACGGUGAGGGAUGAAAGCUGGGGGAGCAAACCGGAUUAGAUACCCGGGUAGUCCCAGCUGUAAACGAUGCAGACUCGGUGAUGGGUUGGCUUCGAGCCAACCCAGUGCCGCAGGGAAGCCGUUAAGUCUGCCGCCUGGGGAGUACGGUCGCAAGACUGAAACUUAAAGGAAUUGGCGGGGGAGCACCACAAGGGGUGAAGCCUGCGGUUCAAUUGAAUUCAACGCCGGG
rnacentral:rRNA from 1 species